rnacentral:rRNA from 1 species
AGCCUGAACGCUGGCGGCGUGGCUAAGACAUGCAAGUCGAACGACACAGUGGCGCACGGGUGAGUAAUGCAUCGCUAAUCUGCCCUGAGCUCGAGGAUAGCGGAGGGAAACUUCCGGUAAUACUCGAUAGUCCUCAAGCACCGCAUGGUGCUUGAUGCAAAGCUUUAUGCGGCCCAGGAUGAGGCGAUGUGGUAUCAGCUAGUUGGUGAGGUAACGGCUCACCAAGGCUUCGACGCCUAGCCGGACUGAGAGGUCGGCCGGCCACAUCGGGACUGAGACACU